CUCGUAGAUACAAUUUUGAAAAUGUGUCGAUCUGCAAGUCUCUUUUUCGCUUUCCUCAUUGCUGGAUUGGUCCUAUGUGAGGCCCUUCCACAAGUAAAUCAUGUACCCAACAAGCCUCAAAAUGAAGGAAUUCUGACUCAUACUGCUGGAGUGAAAGGUAGACACGAACAUAUUGCCUCAUGCUUCGGUCCCCAUCCAACGUCAACUGCAGCACCUACACCAACAAAUGCUACUGUAGGCUAAACCUUUCAGUUCAAUCAAUUAUUGAAACAAUGGUGAAAUAAAUGAACAGUAUAAAAACUUG